GAACGCUAGCGACAGGCCUAACACAUGCAAGUCAGGGGCAGCACAAGGAGCAAUCUGAGGUGGCGACCGGCGCACGGGUGAGUAACACGUAUGCAACCUGCCUGUAAGCGGGGAAUAACCCGUUGAAAGACGGACUAAUACCGCAUAAUACUAAAUUACUGCAUGGUAAUUUAUUUUAAACAUUUAUGGCUUACAGAUGGGCAUGCGCAUGAUUAGCUAGUUGGAGAGGUAACGGCUCCCCAAGGCAACGAUCAUUAGGGGUUCUGAGAGGAAGGUCCCCCACACUGGUACUGAGACACGGACCAGACUCCUACGGGAGGCAGCAGUGAGGAAUAUUGGUCAAUGGACGAGAGUCUGAACCAGCCAAGUCGCGUGCAGGAAGAAUGUCCCUAUGGAUUGUAAACUGCUUUUGCAGGGGAAUAAAGUGCAUCACGUGUGAUGUUUUGUAUGUACUCUGCGAAUAAGGAUCGGCUAACUCCGUGCCAGCCGCCGC
rnacentral:rRNA from 1 species